rnacentral:piRNA from 1 species
CUGGGCAAGCCAAGCCUGAGAGCUGGC